rnacentral:rRNA from 1 species
ACUUAAAUUGAAGAGUUUGAUCAUGGCUCAGAUUGAACGCUGGCGGCAGGCCUAACACAUGCAAGUCGAGCGGUAGCACAGAGAGCUUGCUCUCGGGUGACGAGCGGCGGACGGGUGAGUAAUGUCUGGGAAACUGCCUGAUGGAGGGGGAUAACUACUGGAAACGGUAGCUAAUACCGCAUAACGUCGCAAGACCAAAGUGGGGGACCUUCGGGCCUCAUGCCAUCAGAUGUGCCCAGAUGGGAUUAGCUAGUAGGUGGGGUAACGGCUCACCUAGGCGACGAUCCCUAGCUGGUCUGAGAGGAUGACCAGCCACACU